rnacentral:tRNA from 1 species
GUAGUGGUGAGCCACGUAAGGUUGCAAACCUUAAAAAGGCGGAGUUUCCCUCCCCCCGGACU